rnacentral:rRNA from 1 species
GAUGAACGCUAGCGGGAGGCCUAACACAUGCAAGCCGAGCGGUAUUGUUUCUUCGGAAAUGAGAGAGCGGCGUACGGGUGCGUAACACGUGUGCAACCUGCCUUUAUCUGGGGGAUAGCCUUUCGAAAGGAAGAUUAAUACUCCAUAAUAUAUUGAACGGCAUCGUUUAAUAUUGAAAGCUCCGGCGGAUGGAGAUGGGCACGCGCAAGAUUAGCUAGUUGGUGAGGUAACGGCUCACCAAGGCGAUGAUCUUUAGGGGGCCUGAGAGGGUGAUCCCCCACACUGGUACUGAGACACGGACCAGACUCCUACGGGAGGCAGCAGUGAGGAAUAUUGGUCAAUGGGUGCAAGCCUGAACCAGCCAUCCCGCGUGAAGGACGACUGCCCUAUGGGUUGUAAACUUCUUUUGUAUAGGGAUAAACCUACCCUCGAGAGGGUAGCUGAAGGUACUAUACGAAUAAGCACCGGCUAACUCCGUG